rnacentral:rRNA from 1 species
UGGGGUAUAUUGGACAAUGGGCGAAAGCCUGAUCCAGCCAUGCCGCGUGUGUGAAGAAGGUCUUCGGAUUGUAAAGCACUUUAAGUUGGGAGGAAGGGCAUUAACCUAAUACGUUAGUGUUUUGACGUUACCGACAGAAUAAGCACCGGCUAACUCUGUGCCAGCAGCCGCGGUAAUACAGAGGGUGCAAGCGUUAAUCGGAAUUACUGGGCGUAAAGCGCGCGUAGGUGGUUUGUUAAGUUGGAUGUGAAAUCCCCGGGCUCAACCUGGGAACUGCAUUCAAAACUGACUGACUAGAGUAUGGUAGAGGGUGGUGGAAUUUCCUGUGUAGCGGUGAAAUGCGUAGAUAUAGGAAGGAACACCAGUGGCGAAGGCGACCACCUGGACUAAUACUGACACUGAGGUGCGAAAGCGUGGGGAGCAAACA